UACGUAGGGGGCAAGCGUUGUCCGGAUUUAUUGGGCGUAAAGAGCUCGUAGGCGGUUCCGUAAGUCGAGUGUGAAAAAUCUGGGCUCAACCCAGUGGAGCACUCGAUACUGCGGUGACUGGAGUACGGUAGAGGAGUGUGGAAUUCCUGGUGGAGCGGUGAAAUGCGCAGAGAUCAGGAGGAACACCCGUAGCGAAGGCGGCACUCUGGGCCGAUACUGACACUGAGGAGCGAAAGCGUGGGGAGCGAACAGG
rnacentral:rRNA from 1 species